rnacentral:rRNA from 1 species
UACAGGGGGUGCAAACGUUGCUCGGAAUCAUUGGGCGUAAAGCGCACGUAGGCGGUUUGUUAUGUCGGAUGUGAAAGCCCUUGGCUCAACUGAGGAAGUGCAUCCGAAACUGGCAAGCUAGAGUACUAAAGAGGAUCGCGGAAUUCCCGGUGUAGAGGUGAAAUUCGUAGAUAUCGGGAGGAACACCGGUGGCGAAGGCGGCAUCCUGGACCGGCAUUGACGCUGAGGAGCGAAAGCCAGGGGAGCAAACGGG